rnacentral:rRNA from 1 species
UACAUGGGGUGCAAACGUUGCUCGGAAUUAUUGGGCGUAAAGCGCACGAAGGCGGUUCGUUAAGUCGGAUGUGAAAGCCCUCGGCUCAACUGAGGAAGUGCACCCGAAACUGGCGAGCUUGAGUACGAAAGAGGAUCGCGGAAUUCCCGGUGUAGAGGUGAAAUUCGUAGAUAUCGGGAGGAACACCGGUGGCGAAGGCGGCGAUCUGGGUCGAUACUGACGCUGAGGUGCGAAAGCGUGGGGAGCAAACAGG